rnacentral:lncRNA from 1 species
GGGCAGGCGGGGACCGGUCUGAAAUUCAACAGUGUGGAAUUCGGCUUCUGCUGGAGCGUUUCUGAUGUCACUGACUACCUGCUUGCCAUUAAUACUCAUGAUGAUAAGGGCCCAUAUUGCGACCCAGCAUUGGUUUCUGAUACACUGAAGAGCAAUGCUCACACUUAUGAGCUCAUCUGGUACAAUCAUAAGAAAAAGUAAUCAAGCACUACUCUUGAUCAGCUGAGUGGGGAUCGACGACUUUAAGUACUUUAAUUAUCUAGUGUUUAUGGUGUGGUUUUCAGUUUAUGCAUGGAUGAUGUACUGCUGGCAUGCAAACAUCCUCCCACUGUUGUACUAGUAUGCAAUGUAAGGUGCACUUCUACCAACAAAAAUGCACCGUUAAAUAAAAAAAUCCGUCUGUGUUUGAGUUUGUGUCCUUGUACUAAUAUGUCAAAGGUGCACUUGUACAAACAAAAAUGCACCAUUGAAUAAAUAAAAACAGCUGUACGAGUUUGAGUUUGUAUCUGUGUAUUUUGUUUCUCUGUUACCUGCAAGCAACUAUCAAUCCCUGAGUUUGUAUCUGUGUAUUUUGUUUCUCUGAUAACUAGUUAAGUAUUACUUAAGAUGAAUCCAAACCUUAAAAAGAAAUGAAAGAUUAGUUGAUACAUUGGGAGUAAGACAAGCCGAUGACGUUGUGGUUCUUCUUUGAAGUAUAUUUUGGAUGUUCUUCAUAAAUAUGAAGACUGUUCAGGCCAGCGAGUUAACAAAAAGUUGUUUCUUGACCCAUCAGCGGUUGAAUGUGGCAAGACGACGAGUGAUCAAAACUGUCACUGGGAAUUCAUAUGCAGGCCAUAGCUAAAUUUCCGUUUUUGGAUCUCUGUACAACUGGUACACGUAAAAUUUGUCAGCUAAACUCCGCCACCAAUUGUUCACGAUAUGCAGGAUGGAUGUUCUGGACAAGAAUAUAAAGAUUAAAAAGGGGACUACGAUUAUCAACAAGAAUAAAAUUGGAUUUAGAAAAAACAUGGUUGAUUACUCGUAUGAUUUGUGCCUAAUGAUAAUUACGAAGCAGAAGAAGAAAAAGAAGGGAAAAAAAGAAGAAAGAAAGGGUUGGAUUGUUGCACACACACAUACAUACAUACAUACAUAUAUAUACACACAUGCAUAUAUAUACAUACGUAUAGGGGAGAGGGAUGGGUUGGGUGAUACAGGGGAAAGAAGUGCAAGCGAAGGUCUCGGGUUCGAGUCCUCCUACUUACACUAAAAAAAACAUAUGUAUAUAUCCUUAUACUAUAUAAGAAUGAAUUUAGGGCAAAGAUUUCAAUCCCAAGGAUGGGGCUAUUUUGGAAAUAUGAGAGUAUUUGAGGUGAAAUUGGAAUAUUUAAUAUGAAUCAUUAUAACUGAUUUGGUUUUUUUUUAUAAUUACUUAAAUGUCCUCUCAGACAUUUAAAGCUAUGAGUAAGUUUAACAUGUGACAGUAUUCGAUAUUCAAUUAAUUAUUCGGUACAAUUGAAUUCAGCUUGUGUUUUAGUGAAAUUACAUAAAAAUCCUUUUAAUCAUUUAAUUGUAUUAACAUCUACGUCUCUUAAUUUCUUAAAGCCUUUCUCAACAAUUAUUUGCAAACUUAUGAUAUAUAGAUGUUAAGACACAAGUUUGGUUUCUUGGCCGUUACCAUAGUAACCCCCAUCUAUCCAAAUUCAUUUCAUUUACCUAUAACUUUGUUCCACUACAAUCAUGUAGUCUAUUGAAUUCAGAUGUUGCUAUAUUAGCUACUACUCUUUCCCAUUUUGCAACAUCUUUCUCAAUAGGUUUGUUUUCUUUAGCUAAUCUACUUUUUUGGUUGUAAGAAAUUUGCAAUCUUGUAAGUUGUAUGUGCAAUAAUUUUUUUAGUGUUUUAAUUCAAUUGCCCAUGUUAGAUUGGCUUGAUAGGGAGGAGAUCACAUUUAUUAAUUGUUAUUUGUGGUUUAGAAUAAGUUUGUCAUCAUAAAUUUUUUCAUUAAUAGAUUGCAUCUACUUCUUUUGUUGUUUUAACUAUUAGUUACGAUAAUUUUCAAAUCAUUUGCUACUUUUUUUAUGAUUCCAUUUAGGCAAUUUUUCACUUCAUUUGAUUUGCCAAUAUGUUUAACUAUCUACUUUAAAACUAUUUGGCUGCAAAUCUAAAGUAUGUACUUCAUUACUUUUAAUUUUUUUCUUGAAUUGAGUGGGUUAAGAUGUUUUAGUACUUUUUUGAGGUAAUUAUUCAUCUAGAUUAGCGUGUUAGUUAUUGUAUAUCUUUGCAACUAGGUCAAAAACUGAUGUUUUGUGAUUGUAACCCCUAUCGAGAAAGAGAUGCUUUGCUAUAUGUCCUAAAUCAUACAAUAAAUCAUAAUUAAUUGAUUUGUCAAUGUGGAGCUUUCAUGAUGAUAUGUCAUUGGAAUCAAUAUAAAUCCAAGAAUUUGGCUUGCAAGAACCGAAAUUCCACUAGCAAUGAUUUCUUCAAGUAUGCUAAUUUUUCAAAUCUCACUUAUAUGACAAGAUAAUGAGGUAGACUGCCCUCAAAUCAAGAUCAAAUUCAAACUUAACGACAAAAUUUAACAUCCCUAAAAUGCAUGAGUAGAUAUAAGUAGAUCUUUUAUUCUAUUAGAUUAGACGCAAAGUGAUUAAUCGUAUUUUAUAAUUAUAUUUUGUUGCAUAUUAUUUUUUUCACUCAAUAUGUAAUUUAUGAUUUUUCUAUUUAAUAUCACAUAAUAAAAUUGUCAUACUUCAAUUCUUAUGCUACAAAAUACUAAAUAAUAAUUAUUAACUAUCUUUACUUAAUACUAAAUAAAAAUUUUUCCCCUAGUAUAUAUAUAUAUAUGUGUGUGUGUGUGUGUUAACGAGGCUACAUUCAAAUUUAAAUUAGGAUGAUGUGCCAUGUAUCCAAAUUAAAUCUACUAAUGUAUAUAAUGAUAACGUGGUAGAUAUAUAUUUUUUUUUAAAAAGCAUUUUUCUUGAGAUAUAAAGUAUGCAGCCUUCUUUAUCCUGAAAGUAAGAUCACUAUUUUGUGGAUGAGGGCAGUCCAAAUGGGCGGGUCAAGUGGUUGCCUGAAUUUAAUUAGGUACCAGGUGCAGAUAGGUGGACCAUAAAACCCCAUUUAAUUAAUGGGUUUGGUAGGGUUAUGUAAACGUCUUUUUAGUCAAUGAAAGCUUGACUACGACCCAUUCAUAAUUUUUGGUUACUCUCACUCGACCCGUUAACUUCUGUCCAAGCUCAGGCUGCAUUUCUUAGGCAUCCAGCUUAAAACCCCAAAUUAAAAAUUAAAGACCACCUGGUAAUUUCCCUUUGGUUCUCAAUGCAGGUGGAUGUAAUGGGCUUUGAGGAUAUUUUAACUUUUAAUUUUGGAUAUUUUAACAUUUAAUGUCCCCAAAACCCAGCAAACCUGGAAAGAACAUUAAACAUGUAAUUUUGAUGUCUGUAAUUUGACUAUCAGUACUUCAUAUUAAUGGAAUCAUAUCUUAAUAUAUUUAGACUGUUUCAUAAUAAAAAUUGAACAUUUAAAUUAAUUAAAUGACACUAAAUUUUCUAGGUAAAAUUUGUGAUUGCAUGUUUGUGAUUGGCCACUAUAGACAUGCCCUUAGUGCUUGUAUUAAACUAAAAAGAGAUAUACAACCGUGCACUAGAUAAAUAAACAUAUUUAAUCUAAUUAUGAGAGUAAGUUAGCAGUUGUAUGACGCAAUUAUAUCACCUAAGAUCUUAAAGGGUUUAAUUAAAUACUUAUGAUCUCGAGAGAGACAUGCGAUUUAAUUAAGCAUAACUUAGGUAUAUCUAGAGAUAAUCUAAGGUAUUUGCGUGUAAUACAUUGUUGGCAUGUUGGGAAAAAUAAUGGGAUGAUUAAUUUAAAUUUUGCAUAAAAAUCUAAAACCCUAGACUCUUGCAAACCAUUUUCUCAACUCUAUUUAAUUUGCCUUGAUUAUUUGUUCAUUUUUUUUAGUUAUAGAUUGAAACCCCUAUGAAUUUGAAUUUUAUUAUUUGUCUAGAAUAAUUAAAGUAGAGAAAAUUAACUCGUUCAUCUAGAUUCUAUUUUGGAAUACUACAGGUAAUUUAUUACUACAAUCGAUCCUAUGUGCUUACAGGAAUUCAUUGAUCAAAAUGCAGUGUUGGCAUCACCCUCUUUCAACCAUUUGACUCUCGAUUUAUCCUUAUAAAAGCUCUCCUCAACUUGCAUCCUCAUUCAUAGUCUGUAUAUGAUUUUGCUUUCUCAAUAUAAAUUUUGGCCAACACAAUUCCAAAAAGUUCCUAAAUGUCCCCAACACGGUUGGUGAAAAGCCCCAAAAGUCCUUAUAGUUACCUUCUAAACUCAAUGUAAUAUCACUGCAGCUAAGCCUGUAGAGGUUUUACAAAUAUAUGAUUUUGAGUUUAGCUUAAGUCUAUCAAUAAAACGAUAAAGAAUAUAUUAAAAUCUUUGGUUAUCCUCCUUAUUUUGAACAUUAUAAAUGUUGUUAUUAUUUAUUAUGAGUUUACUAUAAAAAUUUAAAGAAGUAAAAAAUUAUAAAUUCAUAAAUUAGUGAACUAAAGAUUCCCUCUUUGAAGAAAAUAAAUUACUUAAGUCCUAUUGCAAGAUUUACCAGAAAAAGAACUCUAACAAGGAGAGUAUAUGCCGAGUUACUAAAAGCAUAGACAAAUAAAAAGGACACAAGGAUCAGGAAAACAUCUUUGUUUGGAUAUGAAGUUAUUUGCAACAAUAAAAAAAAAAAAUUAAUUGCAUCAUAAAUCCGUUUUCUAAUUAUCUUUUUAUCUUUCUAGCCACCUUUUUAAUCUCAUAUCUAUCAUAUCACAAAGAGUGUUACGAUGUUAUUCCAAAAUAUUAUUCCAAAUAAUUUCCUAUUCGUACGCACUCAAAUAGUUCAAUCUUCAAUAAAUUAUGCAUUACCCUAUAUGCAGAUUCCUAGAUUACAACAUAAACCCCAAUUUUAGAUUCUUUUCUUCUUUCAUCCUUUCAAGUUCUUGAGUUGCACCACAUCUUUUAACUACUGUUGUAAUUUCUCAAGUUUCUAAUCAUCGCUUUGUUAGUCCACCAUUUCACUUCCAAUUGAUCUUGUUCAUUUUACCCUACAAAACAAAGAGAUUUUGCGAGUAAAAUGACAAAAUCAUAGUUAAUUCAUCUAUCAACUUAAGGUGCAAAUCAAAGACUAAAAUAAGCAACUUGCACCAUUUAACUUCACAAAUUGACUCAAAAACAAUAUAAAGCACCUACAGAAAUAUCCACAACUUGAGCUUAUAUCAGAAACGAACACUUUUUAUACUUCUGGCAUGGUUCUUAUAGAAUGAGUAGCGUAGUUUCGUUAAUUGGCAUGCAUAAUGGCUGUUUUUGAACAUUCGAAUCUACAUUAUCUUCACAAUAGAUUGUCGUAUUUCCAAAAUGAGAAAGCUGCUUUCUUUCAUUCGGUUCAAUACAUUUUUUGAUUGUUGGCAACAAAGUUUUGCAAUUUGGCAUUGAAACACAACUUCUUGACGUUCUCUUGCUUUUAUUGUGUAAAAAUGAUUACAAACCAAUGGAAUUUCCAUUUAAAAAUUUAAUAACCAAUUAAGAAAAUGACUUGCUCUUUUGGUGUAAUUGUUAAUCAUCUUCUUUUACAUCAACUCAUUAAGAAAUACAUGAAAUCAAAUACAAAAUGCAUAUUCAAGCUGAAAGUUUUUUUUUUAUUUAUUUUAACCCUCCCUCCCUUCUCCACACUCCAUCCCAUCCCCAACUGUCAACUUCAGGAUUCAAACUAUAAACCUGGUAGCUCUUAGCCAUUGGACCAAUCUUGCCUAGUUGCAUCAAGCCAAAAGUGGGAAGGAUGGUAAAAUAAUACGAUAAAAUUACAGGCUUAGCUAUAGUAAUUAAGGUUACGUUGGUGUAUAUUUUCACGCCGACCUCAUCAUGGACGUGUAAAAACGUGUUCCAUGCUGGUGGACCAUGAUUUUUGUGAUUCGGUCCUACAUCAUCACAAAUUACUUUAUGGGGUACAGAAUCACAUUUUUAGGCCCAUAAAUACAAGGAGUCUGGUCCUCUGCGACCAAGUUUUCGAUAGUCGCAAGUUUUCGAUAGUCACCAGUUACAAAUAUCUAUUUCCAUUCUUAUUAGUGUUUGAGUUUGUGUCCUUGUACAAGUAUGUCAAAGCUGCACUUAUACGAGUAAAAUGCACCAUUAAAUAAAUAAAAACAGCAGUCUGUGUUUGAAUUUGUAUCUGUGUAUUUUGUUCCUCUGUUACUUGCAAGCAAUUUUCAAUCCCUGAGUUUUGUGUGUCAACUAGGUACUAUAUUCAUGACUAGUUAUGAAGUCUAAUAACUAGUUAAGUUUUACUUAAAAUGAAUCCAAACCUGAAAAAAAAAAAAAAAGAUUAACUGAUAAACAAGCUCUAGUCAAGGAUAUAAUUUCGGAAGUGAUUCAUACACCUGCUCAUUAAUGCAAUAAUUAUUUCAUUUAUUUGUUAAUAAACAGGUUAAAGUUGCCAAACAUGUGAUGAUAACCAACUUUUCCUUAAUAUCUCGAUAGUUAAUGUACAUUCAUUAACUACUUUCCUAAUCAAGAAACAACUCUAGGUACGUCCGUAUAAUUUAAUUUAUUGAUUGCAUUAAAAACUAGAAAAGUAAUGUUUUAAUCAAUAAACACACUAUUGGAGUUUAUUUAAAUUAGAUCAUAUGUUUCUCUAACAUGAAACCAAUCACAUUAGUCACCACUAAUUUAAGACAAUUAAACAAUUAAGAAUUUAACUAUCCUAACUAUCAUUAGAUUGUUAAGUUGAAUUAAAUAUCAAACACUCAUGACAUUCAAACAAUCAAACAAUCAUGAGAAAUUAAAUAAAAAAACAUACGAAUACUAACGAAUAAAAGAAAUAGAUAAAAACAAUUAGAUCUCAUAGUUGCCGAUGAAUCCUUCGUUACUCCUUGACUAGAAAAAGAAAAUUUAGCCACUUAUCACUACGAAUAAUCCAAGCAAUUUUAUUGAUAAAUGUUGCAUGAAUAUUCAACAAAAGCAAAAAACAGGAAAAGGCGGAGAGAAAAGCUCUUCGUUUGGUUUAUGCUUGGUGCCUAGACUAAUAGUCUCUCGGUACCCGAAACAAAGUCUUAAAAUCACGAAGGCCAAGAAUCCCUCCUACUCACGUCACCAACGUUUCCUGCUAUUACUACUACCACUAAUACAUCUAAUCUCCUCUAAUUUUUCUCCGAGAGAAAUAUACCCAUAAUUUAACAAAAGGUAAGUUACUUGUUUCUAAAUACAAAACGAAAACCAAUUAUUUUGGAAAAGGAAACCACUUCACAGAACUUCAAUUUGAAUUGGAAAAUUGCCACGCGCGCCAAAUCUCGAUCUCUUCGAACCCGAGGCUAGAAUUAGGUGCGGUCACACAGAACACACCAAGAAUCUUCAUUAAACCAAUUUUUACUCCUUUUCUUGCCAUAUUCCUGAAAUUAGCAUCAAUUGCCAAAUAUACUUUUUACUCCUUUUCUUGGCCUAUUCCUAAAAUUAGCAUCAAUUCUCAAAUAUAAAUAGAAUCCAUCAAUUAUUACAAUAUUUGGUCAAAAUUAAAGGAAAAUAUUCAUAAAUUUAAUAGCAAUUACAUACCCUAUCACCCUCCACUCUUUACACCCCUUCCCAUCCCCAACUAUCAACCUCAAGAUUAGAACUAUGAACCUGAUAGUGGGGGAGCUCUUAGCCACUGGACCAACCCUACCCAGUGGUAUCAAGCCAAAAGUUUGAAUGAUGAUAAAAUAAUAACAUAAAAUUAUAGGCCUAGCUAUAAUAAUUAGGUUACGUUGGUGUAUAUUUUCACACUGACCUCAUCAAGGACGUGUAAAAACGUGUUCCAUGCUGGUGGACCAUGAUUUUGGUAAUUAGGUCCGGCAUUACCACAAAUUAAUUUAUGGUGUAGAGUAUCACAUUUUUAGGCCUAUAAAUUCAAGGAGUCUGGUUCUCUGCUACCAAGUUUUCGACACUCACCAGUUACAAGUAUCUAUUUCCAUUCUUAUUAGUUAGCUAGCUAGUCCUUUAAGAAGAAAAUGGCCGCAGCCAAAUCUGGUAUUGGCAGUGGACAGGUGAAUAGUGACUGUAUGCCUUGCUAGACUGGAUUUCUUUGUUUUUCAAGUUUGUGUGUGCAUGGUUUUCGGAGUCAACUUAUAAACAACACGUAUAGAAACGUUUGAAAAAGUAUGAGGAGUUGCAAAUUAAAGUAACUUCAACAUUCUUGAGUCGACUUGAUUAGCAAUAUUUUAUGUUUCUAGUUGUCUACAUGCUGCGGUCUCUUGAAUUGUUUGAUAAAUAAGCUUCUUCCGAGCAAUGUCGUUUCUUAUUAAUUGAUUGGUUCGAUUUAGUUUUCUGGUUGUUCCUUUGUUUGAAAGGACUCUAACUGAUUUUGGGAACUCAAUUGUGUUGGGUUUUCUUACUGAAAAAUGUUUGGGGUUUGCAGAAAGACGAACCUAUUAUUCCUAUGGCGUCAACCGUCAAUCCGAACGACGAUGUGGUGAUUCAGAAGGCAAAAUUUGCAGUUGAUAGUUACAAUGGGCAGGCGGGGACCGGUCUGAAAUUCAACAGUGUGGAAUUCGGCUUCUGCUGGAGCGUUUCUGAUGUCACUGACUACCUGCUUGCCAUUAAUACUCAUGAUGAUAAGGGCCCAUAUUGCGACCCAGCAUUGGUUUCUGAUACACUGAAGAGCAAUGCUCACACUUAUGAGCUCAUCUGGUACAAUCAUAAGAAAAAGUAAUCAAGCACUACUCUUGAUCAGCUGAGUGGGGAUCGACGACUUUAAGUACUUUAAUUAUCUAGUGUUUAUGGUGUGGUUUUCAGUUUAUGCAUGGAUGAUGUACUGCUGGCAUGCAAACAUCCUCCCACUGUUGUACUAGUAUGCAAUGUAAGGUGCACUUCUACCAACAAAAAUGCACCGUUAAAUAGAAAAAUCCGUCUGUGUUUGAGUUUGUGUCCUUGUACUAAUAUGUCAAAGGUGCACUUGUACAAACAAAAAUGCACCAUUGAAUAAAUAAAAACAGCUGUACGAGUUUGAGUUUGUAUCUGUGUAUUUUGUUUCUCUGUUACCUGCAAGCAACUAUCAAUCCCUGAGUUUGUAUCUGUGUAUUUUGUUUCUCUGAUAACUAGUUAAGUAUUACUUAAGAUGAAUCCAAACCUUAAAAAGAAAUGAAAGAUUUGUUGAUACAUUGGGAGUAAGUCAAGCCGAUGACGUUGUGGUUCUUCUUUGAAGUAUAUUUUGGAUGUUCUUCAUAAAUAUGAAGACUGUUCAGGCCAGCGAGUUAACAAAAAGUUGUUUCUUGACCCAUCAGCGGUUGAAUGUGGCAAGACGACGAGUGAUCAAAAGUGUCACUGGGAAUUCAUAUGCAGGCCGUAGCUAAAUUUCCGUUUUUGGAUCUCUGUACAACUGGUACACGUAAAAUUUGUCAGCUAAACUCCGCCACCAAUUGUUCACGAUAUGCAGGAUGGAUGUUCUGGACAAGAAUAUAAAGAUUAAAAAGGGGACUACGAUUAUCAACAAGAAUAAAAUUGGAUUUAGAAAAAACAUGGUUGAUUACUUGUAUGAUUUGUGUCUAACGAUAAUUACGAAGCAGAAGAAGAAAAAGAAGGGAAAAAAAGGUUGGAUUGUUACACACACACAUGUAUGUGUGUAUAUAUUUAUAUAUGCAAGUAAGAUCACUAUUUUCUGGAUGAGGGCAGUCCAAAAGGGCGGGUCAAAUGGUUGCCUGAAUUUCAUUAGGUACCAGGUGCAGUCUGCAGAUAGGUGGACCAUGGAACCCAUUUAAUUAAUGGGUUUGGUAGGGUUACGUAAACGUCUUUUUAGUCAAUGAAAGGAUGACGAUGACACAUUCAUAAUUUUUUAUUAGGGAAAAUCAUUCAAAACGUUUCUCAUAUUACAAAAUAACUUUUUUGGUUUCUUAUUUUUAAAAGUAUAAUUUUACGUCCCUUAUAAAUUCACAUUAACCAAAUUUGGUCUCUACCUAGAUUUCCGACUAGUUUUUAGCCAGAAUCUACCACGUGACUUGCAUGUGAUCAUUGUUUAAGGACAAAAUUGUCAAAUCAAAUUUUUACAUAAUCUGAUUCAUAGUCCCUCACAUUUUCACAAAAUGAAUUUUUUCAUCCCCAACAUUUUACAAAAUGAAUUGUUUCGUUCCUCAUAUUUUAAAAAAUGAAUUUUUCCAUCGCUCACAUUUUUCAAAAUGAAUUUUUUCAUCUCUCAUUGAUCAUGUAUACGAAUAGCUUUUUUUUCUAUAAACCCACGUAUAUGUUUAUUUGAUUUUAUUUAAACAGUAUGAGUAACAUGUAAUUUAUCUCUAUUGGAUUUCAUCUAAACAGGCUAAUCAUAGCUAUACACAUGCUAUUCAAUCGAUAUAUAUAGGGGUUUAAAACUAAUAAUUUUGUUUGAAACCCACUUAUAUAUUUAUAUGAUUUCAUCAUUUGAACCUAUUCAAUAUUUUUGACCUUUCUCUUUUGGUAAUAAUUUAUUUAUUGAGUUGUAUAAUAAGGUCAUAUAAUUAAUGGGUCCUAACUCGAAUUCUAUAAUUAUGUUAACAAAUUUCAGUUUAAAUCUGAAAUUUCUACUCGACACUUUUAAGACCAACAGUUGAAUUACUUGUAUUGUGAUUGUCUUAAAAUUUGAAAGUGCUAAUCACUUAUUUCUUUUUGUCAUACUUUUCUUUUGUUUACUUUUUCUAUCCAAAUUUAAUUCGAUAUAAACACUUGAUAAUAUUUAGGAUUAAAUGCCAUCUUUAUUUUCAAAUUUCGAGUUAAAGAAAAUGAAUAUACGUGAAAAACUUAAAAUUUUUUUAAACACAUGUAUAUAUCUAUUUAAUUUCACUUGAGCAGUACGAGUAGUGUGUACUAUAUCUCUAUUUGAUUUCGCAUGCUAUUCGUACUGUUCAAGUGAAAUCAAAUAGAUAUAUACAUAGAUUUAAAAAAAAUUAUUCACACAUAUGAUCAAUAAAAGAUGAAAAAAUUCAUUUGGAAAAAUGGGAAGGAUGAAACAAUUCAUUUUGUGAAAUAUAAGGGACGAAAAAUUUUAUUUUAUGAAAUGUGAGGGACUAUGAAUCGAAUUAUAUAAAAUUUGAUUUGACAAUUUUGCCCUUAAAAUAUGAUCACGUGCAAGCUAGGCACGUGGUGAAUUCCGACCAAAAACUAGUCGAAAACCUAAAUAGGGACAAAAUUUCACCAAUGUGAAUUUGUAAGGGACGUAAAAUUACAUUUUUAAAAGUGAGGGAUGAAAAAAGUUAUUUUACAAAAUGUGAUGGACGUUUUGAACGAUUUUCCCUUUUGGUUACUCUCACUCGACCCGUUUACUUCAGUCGAUGCACAGGCUGCAUUUCUUAGGCAUCCAGCUUAAAACCCCAAAUUAAAAAUUAAUGACCACCUGGUAAUUUCCCCUUGGGUCUCAAUGUAGGUGGGCUUUGGGGAUAUUUUAACUUUUAAUUUUGGAUAUUUUAACAUUUAAUGUCUCCAAAACCCAGCACAGUUGGAAAGAACAUUAAACAUGUAAUUUUGAAGCCUGUAAUUUGACUAUCCAGCAUUUCUUUCACUCCUCACUUUAUUUUCAACACUGCACGAGCUAAUCCAACUUUCUUGCAGUACCCUCUCACCAAUUCAUGCAUUACUAGUGUAUUAUCUGCUAUACUUCUUCCUAUUAUAAAGCACUCUGAUAUUCAUCAAUGAUUCGAGGAAUUAAACUUUCAACCUAUUAGUUAGCAAUGCUAAAUCGCAUUUACAUAGCAAACAACAGCAGGCUGUAGGCUUGAAAUCCCUCAUUUGUGUUGUAUUCCGCAACUUUGGGACCAGUGUAAUUAUAGUACUAUUUAAAGGAUAAUGCAUAUACUUCUUGUCAAAACAAGAUUGAGCAUCUCGAAUUACUUCAUCACCAAUUACAUGCUAAUUCUUCUUUAAAAAAAUUGUGCACUAAAGCCAUCUGGGCUUGGAGCUUUACCGUCCUUCAUAGCAAACAUAGCAUGUUUAAUCUCUUCAGCUGACACACUAGCCUGGAGAAAGUCGAAUUGAUCACUAGUGAUGGUUUUGGCAUUUAUCUGUUGCAGCUUGCCCUUCAAAUCAGGGUACUAAGAGUUAGAUUUACUAAACAGAGUCUGAUAAAAUUCCCCUGCAAUUUCUUUAACUUGCUCAUGGUCCUCAACAACAUCAACUUCAUCAUUUCUAAGAGAGAGUAUCUUAUUCCUGGCAACAUGACCCUUCAUCUUUCUGUAGAAAAAAAGCAGUAUUUUUGAUAGGGUAUGAAUUGCAUUAUCUUUAUAUGUACAAAUUGCUAGUUAACGGUGAUAGUUGAGCUACAACUUGAAUAGAAAUUGUUUAAUUUUGAUCUUAUGUUAUUUUAAUAGGUAGAGAGCUCAAUUGGAAAGAAAAUGGACCAAUCUUGGCAAGACAAUCAAGAAAAGCAGCAAUAAAAGAAGAAGAAGAAUGAACAAACAAGGGUUGCUGGAUUACUAAGGAUCCAUAGGCAAAUCCAUAGCGAUCUGUGCAUGUAUUCUCAAUAACCGGCUCCAGAUGUCAAAAUGGUCUUCACAUUGAACUUCUUCUGGUUGUUAUGGUUUUGAGCUUCACCCAAUGACCGGCCCACGGAAAUUAAUAAAAGACUUUAAUUUAUUAAAAGAAUUUCUAUAUUUCUUUAUUUUUCUCAAUAUCCCAAACAAGAUCUAAUAAUAACAUUAAUUAUUAAUGGAACAAACGAGGGGUUAGGUCUGAGGGUCAAUUGGGCAUGAGAGAGGGGGUUGGUUGUUCUUUGAAAAGAUAUUCAUCAUCUGAUUGAUGAGUCAUAAUAAGACAAUUUGCGGUUAAUAUACUUACUAAGUAGGAAUCUACUACUCUAGGAAUAAAAAUUUCAGUUAUCAAGGUGAGUUUAUGGGCCAAUAAAUAAAAGAUUUUUAUCUUUGUAACCAAUUGCAUUGGGGUGGGACAGUGCAAGAGAUAUCAUACAAAAGAGAUUGAAUCCUCUAAAAAUGCUAUGAAGUGCUCCAAAAUGGUCGAAGUAGUUGAAUAGAAGGAUCGCUAUGACUAUAGCCCUUGGUAAAUUUACCAAAGGCGAAAAUGAUUUAUUUGAUAUUAUGAAUGAUUGGUUACGUAGAGACCGUUUCCUUCUUCAUCUGGAAUUGGUGCCUUCGCGAUUUUUUUCAACUCCAAGAAGUCUAACCCUAUCAUAUUUGGACUAAAAUUUUAAGAAACUAUAAAUAGGAGUUAUUUAGAUUAUUUUUAGGGGAAGAAACACAUUAGACUAGCAUCAGUUCAUCACAUAAAACUCUUUCUUGGGAGAUCAAGAAUGGGUUCAAGGCACGGGAUCAAAGAGAAAUCGAGACGGAGAUUGGAGCAAGGAAAAUUGAGAAGUUUUCUUUACUUUUAUCUUCAUACUUGUAUUUAGUCUUUGAGUUCUUGAUUUUUAUAAUGAAUAUGAUGAACUAAUUUGUCUCUAGGGUUGGAUUUUAUUAAAAAGUAUUGGUUAUUUAUUUUAGUUAAAUUCUUUACGUUUGCCUUAAUUUAUCUAUUUUGACUUAAUUAUAUGUUAUGCUUGAUCACCAUAGACAUGCUCUUAGAUUUUGUGUUGAACUAAAAAGGGACAUACAACCAUGCAUAAGAUGAAUAAAUAUAUUUAGCCUAAUUAUGAGAAUAGAUUAGAUUUUGUAUAACAUAAUUGAAAUCACCUAAGAUCUUAAAGGGUUUAAUUAAAUAAUUAUGGUCUUGAGAGAGAUGUAAGAUAUAAUUGGGCACAAUUUAGAUGUAUUAAUAGAUAAUAUAAAACACCUUUGCAUGAUACAUUCUUGGCAUGUUAAUAAAUUAGUUGGAUAAUUAAUUCAAAUUCUGGAUCAAAAUCUAAAACUCUAGUCUCUUGCCAAUUAUUUUCUCGCAUCUUUUUUAUUUGACUUGAUCAUUUAUUUUACCUCUUAAUUAGAAAUUAAAUCCUUUAAAUUUAAAUUUCAUUGUCUUCUCAUAAUAAUUAUAGUAGAGAAAACACUCCUAACCUAGGAAAAGUCAAUUCAAAAGGAGAAUGCACGACUGAAGCGAAGAAAUAGCUAGAUAUGAGAUGAUUUUAUUAUACAAUCGAUCCUAUGCAGUAGCACAAAUAGCGGAUCAAUUUUUAUCACCGAAUUGUAGCCACUACACUCUGGGCUUAUCCUUAUAGAACUCCUCUUCAGCGAGAAUCAAUCUUGUGUAUUCCUAGAUAACAACUUUCUCUGCAGCAAUUAACUCCGGAUCAAAAGGUUGCUAUUGCAUAUGCUGCUGCAUUAUUAUCAGUUGCUUUUUUUUUUUUUUUGCUUUGAACUCCACCAGAGAUGUGGUUAUAGUCUCUUUUAUUCAGCUCUUGAAGCUUACCCAUAAGCUGUUUUAGUUCAAAACAGAUAAGCUGUAUGGGAUUUAUUAACACUCCAGGAUCAGCUUGCCAAGAAUCCAACAGGACAUCAAAAAACUCAUGCUACAUCCAAAAGCUAAUGAAUUUAAAAAGCUUUGGCCCAAAGUUAACUUGAUCUAGCUAUAUAUUCAGAUUGGUAAUGAAGCGACCAAAAAUUGUUAGUCUUAAUGUUUGGAAAGUGCUACUCUUUCUCAUAUCUAUAGGAUUGCAAAGGAAUAAAGUUAUCUCGGUCAAAACUUGUGUAGGGUAUUUAAAAAUUUAUAAAUGUAAAAUUUGACUACGUAUUGAGUUUAAUUUUGUAUGCCCCAUGCACAUCAAGCUCUAUUCCAUAGUUUGAAAUAUGUCAAUCCCAGACCUCCUUCAUACUUUGGUUUACAAACUUCUGCCCAAAUAACUUUUGCAUGUGUCCUCACUCCUCAGCUCCACUCCAGACCAUAGAAAGGCAUUCAAAAUACUCUCCACCUUUGCAACAGACAACUUGGGGAGGACAAAUAAACAAAAAGGCUAUUAAGUAUAAAUUCAAGUAAAAUGAGCCUUCCUCCAUAAGAGAGUUUCCAAGCUGCCCAACUUUUAAUUAUAGCCCCUAUUUUAUCAAGAAUAGGCUAGCAGUCAAUAGCACUUAGCCGAGUAGAUAUUAAAGGAACACUUAGGUAUCAAACUAGAAAGUGUCCCAAGCGAAUCCCCACAGCUUCAUUCAACUUCACACAUUGCUAGUUAGAUACACCGGCUGCAAAAAUCUCUGAUUUAGCCAGGUUUGGUUGAAGACUCGACAUCUCAGAGAAUUCUUUCAAAGUGGCCUGAAUCCCAUAUCGAUUUUGAGUCUAUUUGUAAGAUUAAUUGGUAUAAAUUGUCCAUUUUAUGUCACUAAUUUGCACCUUAAGUGAUUAAUGGAUUAGUUGUGAUUUUAUCAUUUCACUUGCAAAUUUCUUUGGUUUUGUAGGAAAAAUGAUUAAGCUUAAUUGGACGUGCAAUGAGCUGGGAUGAGAAGCUUGAGGAGUCACAACAAUGGCUAAAAGAAAUGGUGCAAGGAAAGCAUGAAGCUUGGAAGAAAGAAAGAAGGAAACAAAGAAGAAAAAAAACUAGAGAGAAACCGCGGGAGAAUCCGCCUGCGGUUUCUCCCACAGUUUGUGGCCAGUGAAUCAUUUUGUAGCAAAUCAUUUGUUCUGCACAAUCCCUGGGAGAAUCCCUCGAGGGAUUUGAUCCAGGAAUUCAUGGUAGCUGCAACUCACCAACUUGCAUGGUUUUUCUUUCUUUUUUUUUUUUUUGUGGACAAGACACAAAAAGACAUUUUGUACCAACUUUUGGAGGAUCUAAGAGUUUCUUUUGUUGACUCUUAACAAGGAAGAAACAUGUUAUUGGAGAGGGAGAUUAGUUCUUGACAAGAGAGAGAGCUUUUUCUUCUCUUUUUUUUAGUUUUAGCUUACUGAUAGUUUUAGAUCUAAUUUUCUUUUUAUCUUCAAAAACUUGAAGAACUCUUGAUGAACAAUGUAUUUUUUAUUGCAAUGAAAAUGAUGAAACUUGAAGAUCUUGUUUCUUCACUUGAAUAAGUAUUUCUUUCUCUUUACUCUCUUUGUUGUGCCAUUAAUUCUUAGUUACAUUGAAGACACGAGUUUUAUUAUUAAAUCUACUAUGUCUAGCUAAAUCUUCUUGUUUUAGGGGUAGAUGAAGCUAUUUGUGCCUUGAUUAUGGUUGAAUAAAGUUGAUUAUUGUUAUAUCUUGCACUUGCUAGUUCAUUUAUUUUUACUUUAACACUUGUAAAUGCUUAAUCACCAUUUACAAACCAUGAUAGUUGUUGUUAAUCUAUGAGAAUAAUUAACAAUGAUGAAAUAGAAUAGGUAAACCUAAUGAGUAGACACACGAAAAUAAUGGUACACUUAGGUGGAUAUUUUUGGCAUUUCUAGAUCUAGAUUAAGUCUUCACUUUAGAUUUCACCAUGAGAGUAAGGAAAGUAUAGUGUUGGCUAAGUUCAGUUCAUUGGCGAGAACGAGUUCUGAAGACUUGAGUGAAAUACAUCCUUAGCAAGACAAAACCAUGAGUGAUAAUUGGCUAUUUCAUCCAUAGUUAGGUACAUUUAGUGGAAUCUAUACCCUAGGACAUUUGUCUUUAGUUGAGUUUCUUCAAGUUGUUAAUUUGCCUUGCAUUAUUUUAGCUUUUGAUGGUUUCACUUAGUUAAAAUUCUUGAGUAGUUUAGAUAAUAAAGUGAGCAAAAAACCUUAGUAGUUGAGAGUGAUUCUCGUGGGAUUCGACCUUAUUUCCUUUGUACUACAAUACACGAUCCGUUAACAAGGGAAUUAGGUUUAAAAAUUAGAGUGCAAGUAUAAAUCUCGUCAAGGAUUUAUGAGAUGGAAUAGCCAUAAUGAACAAAUCAUCAACAAAGGAAAUAUGGUAUGAUUUCAUCUCUGAACAUCUGGGGUGGUAUUCAAACCCCAUCUCUUCAAUGUUUGCAUCCAUAAUCUGAGAAAACGCUUCCAUUACUACCAAGACAAAGGUGAGUAGAUAUAAAAUGUCCUUGCCUCAACCCUCUACAACUUGCAAAUUAGCCAACAAGGAAGCCAUUUAGGUUGAGAGAGAAUCUAGUAGUCAUAGCACAGUUUUUUGCGCAAUAAAUAAGGUAGAGGAGAAGUUCAUAAGUUUGAGAACCGUGAAAAAAGAAACAGCCAUCUAACUGUAUCAUAUGCUUUCGUGAUGUCAACUUUCAGAACACAUCUUGCUUUUCUCCCUUUCUUAUGAUAAUUUCUCACCAACUCAUGCAUCAAUAGGACAUUAUCUGAAAUAUUUCAACCUUUUAAAAAGGCACUUUGCCUCUUAGAUAUCAGACCUUCCAAAAUUUGUUUAAAUAAUUCAGUAAGCACCCUAGAAAUUAGAAUAUAUUUCUUAGAGUGCGUUGCAACAAGCAACAAGACCAUAUUCCUUCAUUCCCACGGGUGAAGCUAUCUUGGGAACCAAAGUGAUGAUUGUACUAUUCAAUCCUAUAGCCAUAUGCUGAGUAUGAAAACAGUACUAUAUAGCAUUAAUCAAACCAGCACCUAAUAGUCAUCAAUUUUUAUUGAAAAAAUCCACAGUGAAAGCAUCAGGCUCUGGUGAAGUACCUUCUUUCAUGCUGAAUAAAGCUUGCUGAAUCUCUAAGUCAGUAAUUUUCUGAAUCAACUUUGCCCCUUGCUUUUUGGUUAAUCUAUUUUUAAUAAUCUUGGAUAACCUAUGCUCCAUAGUUUCAGAGAAGGAACCAUGUUUAGAAAAUGAUUACAAAUAAUAUCCAACUACUUCCCUCUUCACAUUUUCACAGUCUGUAAAGCCUUAUAUACUCAGAGUUUGUGAGACUUAAGAUUUUGUUGUGAGAAUGGUAAAUUUUCAACUUUCUAUGGAAAAAUGUGAUAGGGUAUAAAAUGUAGUGUAUUUAUAUGUAUAAGUUGCUAGUUAAUUAUGUUAUUUGAGCUUUAUUUUGAAUGGAAACUACUUUAUUUUGUUAUUAUAUUGGUCUAAUAAGUGAAAAUCUUGACUGGACAGAAAAUAGACAAAAAUAUGGCGAAGAAGCAAUGGAAGAAGAAUACUUGAAGAGUAAGGGGUUUGACUGGAUUGACAUGUUUCAUUAUUUUGGCAAUAACUUGAGUUACACAAAUUGGAUUGAUAUAAUUCUUGAUUCACUUUGAAGUAAGAGAAAGAUCUACAACUUUUAUGAGAUAUCAAAGUCCAGUUCUCAUGUUUUCAUAACAAACAAUCCAAAAUACUAAAAUAUAGUUUUGCUAUGAUGCUCUUCUGAUUAGUUUUCAGUAUUUUAGACAUAUCUUAGUGUCCAGAUCUCCAAAUGAUAUGAUUGUUAUGGCAUGGGAAAGCUAAUUUAAAGGACUACAACUUUCAUGUUUGCAAGAGUUGAUUCAGCCUCUUUGAUCGAGUUUUUUUGGCUUCAAAUAUGAUCCACAUGUAGAUCUAUAGUGAUCCAUUCAUGGCUCUGUUAUAACCGACGCCGACUAUGCAUUCGGUCUUCAGGCCGAGCUUCCUGUAAUCCUAAUGUUCGGUGCCAAACUUUGGGCUGGACUUUAUUGAAAAAAUAUACGAAAAUGUUAUUUUUUAGUUCCAAUAAACCCAAUCCUAUUCCAUUUGAGAUACUACUUUAAGAAACUAUAAAUAAGCGCUAUCGAGGACGUUUUUGGAGGUCAGAAAAUAUUAGGCUACAUUAGUUCAUCCUUUUUACAUCUUCUUUUCUUGAUAGAUCAAGGAUGAAGCGUGGAAGAAUAAAAAAGGAAGAUCAAGACGGGGACCAAAGCAUAGAAAAUUGAGAAGUUUUCUUUACUUUAUCUUCUUGCUUGUAUCUUUUCUUUGAAUUCUUGGUUUUAAUUAUGAAUAUGUUGAGCUCAAUUUUCUAGGCUUAGAGUUUUAUGAAGGAGAUUUGAUUACUUAUCUUAGUUAAAUUCUUUACUUUUGUCUUGAUUUAUUUAUUUUUGAUUUAAUUGCAUGUUUGUGAUUGGCCACGUACUAUAGACAUGCCCUUAAUGCUUGUAUUAAACUAAAAAGGGAUAUACAACCGUGCACUAGAUAAAUUAACAUAUUUAAUCUAAUUAUGAGAGUAGGUUAGCAGUUGUUUGACGUAAUUAUAUCACCUAAGAUCUUAAAGGGUUUAAUUAAAUACUUAUGAUCUCGAGAGAGACAUGCGAUUUAAUUAAGCAUAACUUAGAUAUAUCCAGAGAUAAUCUAAGGUAUUUGCGUGUAAUACAUUGUUGGCAUGUUGAGAAAAAUAAUGGGAUGAUUAAUUUAAAUUUUGUAUAAAAAUCUAAAACCCUAGACUCUUGCCAACCAUUUUCUCAACUCUAUUUAAUUUGCCUUGAUUAUUUGUUCAUUUUUUUUAGUUAUAGAUUGAAACCCCUAUGAAUUUGAAUUUUAUUAUUUGUCUAGAAUAAUUAAAGUAGAGAAAAUUAACUCGUCCGUAUAGAUUCUAUUUUGGAAUACUAUAGGUAAUUUAUUACUACAAUCGAUCCUAUGUGUUUACAGGAAUUCAUUGAUCAAAAUGCCGUGUUGGCAUCACCCUCUUCCAACCAUUUGACUCUCGAUUUAUCCUUAUAAAAGCUCUCCUCAUCUUGCAUCCUCAUUCAUAGUCUGUAUAUGAUUUUGCUUUCUCAAUAUAAAUUUUGGCCAACACAAUUCCAAAAAGUUCCUAAAUGUCCCCAACACGGUUGGUGAAAAGCCCCAAAAGUCCUUAUAGUUACCUUCUAAACUCGAUGUAAUAUCACUGCAGCUAAGCCUGUAGAGGUUUUAUAAAUAUAUGAUUUUGAGUUUAGCUUAAGUCUAUCAAUAAAACGAUAAAGAAUAUUUUAAAAUCUUUGCUUAUCCUCCUUAUUUUGAACAUUAUAAAUGUUGUUAUUACUUAUUAUGAGUUUACUAUAAAAAUUUAAAGAAGUAAAAAAUUAUAAAUUCCUAAAUUAGUGAACUAAAGAUUCCCUCUUUGAAGAAAAUAAAUUACUGAAGUCCUAUUGCAAGAUUUACCAGAAGAAGAACUCUAACAAGGAGAGUAUAUAUAUGCCGAGUUACUAAAAGCAUAGACAAAUAAAAAAGACACAAGGGUCAGGAAAACAUCUUUGUUUGGAUAUGAAGUUAUUUGCAACAAUAAAAAAAUAAAAAAAAUUAAUUGCAUCAUAAAUACGUUUUCUAAUUAUCUUUUUAUCUUUCUAGCCACCUUUUUAAUCUCAUAUCUAUCAUAUCACAAAGAGUGUUACGAUGUUAUUUCAAAAUAUUAUUCCAAAUAAUUUCCUAUUCGUACGCACUCAAAUAGCUCAAUCUUCAAUAAAUUACGCAUAACCCUAUAUGCAGAUUCCUAGAUUACAACAUAAACCCUAGUUUUAGAUUCUUUCCUUCUUUCAUCCUUUCAAGUUCUUGAGUUGCACCACAUCUUUUAACUACUGCUGUAAUUUCUCAAGCUUCUAAUCAUCGCUUUGUUAGUCCACCAUUUCACUUCCAAUUGAUCUUGUUCAUUUUACCCUACAAAACAAAGAGAUUUUGCGAGUAAAAUGACAAAAUCAUAGUUAAUUCAUCUAUCAACUUAAGGUGCAAAUCAAAGACUAAAAUAAGCAACUUGCACCAUUUAACUUCACAAAUUGACUCAAAAACAAUAUAACGCACCUACAAAAAUAUCCACAACUUGAGCUUAUAUCAGAAACGAACACUUUUUAUACUUCUGGCAUGGUUCUUAUAGAAUGAGUAGCGUAGUUUUGUUAAUUGGCAUGCAUAAUGGCUGUUUUUGAACAUUCGAAUCUACAUUAUCUUCACAAUAGAUUGUCGUAUUUCCAAAAUGAGAAAGCUGCUUUAUUUCAUUCGGUUUAAUACAUUUUUUGAUUGUUGGCAACAAAGUUUUGCAAUUUGGCAUUGAAACACAACUUCUUGACUUUCUCUUGCUUUUAUUGUGUAAAAAUGAUUACAAACCAAUGGAAUUUCCAUUUAAAAAUUUAAUAACCAAUUAAGAAAAUGACUUGCUCUUUUGGUGUAAUUGUUAGUCAUCUUCUUUUACAUCAACUCAUUAAGUAAUACAUCAAAUCAAAUACAAAAUGCAUAAGUUAUUACAUGACUGAAAUUAGCAUAUUCAAGCUGAAAGUUUUUUUUUUUAUUUCAACCCUCCAUCCCAUCCCCAACUGUCAACUUCAUGAUUCAAACUAUAAACCUGAUAGCUCUUAGCCACUGGACCAACCCUACAGAGUGGUAUCAAGCCCGCCAAAAGUUUGAAUGAUGAUAAAAUAAUGACAUAAAAUUAUAGGCCGAGCUAUAAUAAUUAGGCUAGUUGGUGUAUAUUUUCACACUGACCUCAUCAAGGACGUGUAAAAACGUGUUCCAUGCUGGUGGACCAUGAUUUUGGUAAUUAGGUCCGGCAUUACCACAAAUUAAUUUAUGGUGUAGAGUAUCACAUUCUUAGGCCUAUAAAUACAAGGAGUCUGGUUCUCUGCUACCAAGUUUUCGACAGUCACCAGUUACAAAUAUCUAUUUCCAUUCUUAUUAGUUAGCUAGCUAGUCCUUUAAGAAGAAUAUGGCUGCAGCCAAAUCUGGUACUGGCAGUGGACAGGUGAAUAGUGACUGUAUGCCUUGCUAGACUGGAUUUCUUUGUUUUUCAAGUUUGUGUGUGCAUGGUUUUCGGAGUCAACUUAUAAACAACUCGUAUAGAAACGUUUGAAAAAGUAUGAGGAGUUGCAAAUUAAAGUAAUUUCAACAUUCUUGAGUCGACUUGAUUAGCAAUAUUUUAUGUUUCUAGUUGUCUACAUGCAGCGGUCUCUUGAAUUGUUUGAUAAAUAAGCUUCUUCCGAGCAAUGUCGUUUCUUAUUAAUUGAUUGGUUGGAUUUAGUUUUCUGGUUGCUCCUUUGUUUGAAAGGACUCUAAUUGAUUUUGGGAACUCAAUUGUGUUGGGUUUUCUUACUGAAAAAUGUUUGGGGUUUGCAGAAAGACGAACCUAUUAUUCCUGUGGCGUCAACCGUCAAACCGAAAGACGAUAAGGUGAUUGAGAUUGCACAAUUUGCAGUUGUAACGUACAAUAAGCAGGCCGGGACCGAUCUGGUUUUCAUCAAUGUGGAAUUCGGCUUCUGGUGGAGCAUUUCUGGUGCCACUUACUACAUGCUUGCCAUUAAAGCUCAGGAUGAUAAGGGCACAUAUUGCGACGUAGCGUUGGUUGCUGAUAUACUAGAGAGUGGUGGUCAUCACACUUAUAAGCUCAUCUGGUACAAUCAUAAGAAAAAUGUUUGGGGUUUGCAGAAAGACCAACCUAUUAUUCCUCCGGCGACAACCGUCAAUCCGGAAGACCCUCAUGUGAUUGAGAUUGCACAAUUUGCAGUUGUAACGUACAAUAAGCAGGCCGGGACCGAUCUGGUUUUCAUCAAAGUGGAAUUCGGCUUCCGGUGGGGCAAUCUUGGUGCCACUGACUACAUGCUUGCCAUUAAAACUCAGGAUGAUAAGGGCACAUAUUGCGACGUAGCGUUGGUUGCUGAUAUAGUGGUGAGCGGUGGUCACACUUAUGACCUCAUCUGGUACAAUCAUAACAAUAAUUAAUCAAGCACUACUCUUGAUCAGCUGAGGAGUGAGGAUCGACGAUUUUAAGUACUUUAAUUAUCUAGUGUUUAUGGUGUGGUUUUCAGUUUAUGCAUGGAUGAUGUACUGCUGGCAUGCAAACAUCCUCCCACUGUUGUACUAGUGUGUAAUGUAAGGUGCACUUCUACCAACAAAAAUGCACCGUUAAAUAAAAAAAUCCGUCUGUAUUUGAGUACGUGUCCUUGUACUAAUAUGUCAAAGGUGCACUUGUACGAACAAAAAUGCACCAUUAAAUAAAUAGAAACAGCUGUACGAGUUUGAGUUUG